CGCUUGCGUAUACGCCACAUCUGCCCUUCAUUCAUCAGGAGGGUGCGUCAAGAGACGUCAUGAAAAGACGUGUAGAAUGUUGCUGAUCCACAUAUAUGGGGGGUGGUAUCCUUAAACUAGCAGCCCAAAAUCCCUGAAACUCCUUUCACUGCCAUCAUCAUGACAUCACCAUGACAAGCUUUAUAAAGCAAAAUGCAGGUGUUUGUUUUAAGAUGUGGUAGGAUCCCCAUUACCUUAUUGUGCCGCAGACAUCUCUUCAGAAGAUCUCCUGCCAUGUCAUAUUUUCCCGACUGGAUGUAGAUGUCGGCCAGAAGUAACC